CGAAAAGUCGACGAAUCAAGUAAAGAAGUACUGGACUCUACUUUUCAUCUGACUCGUCGUCCUUGUUACAGCAAAACGAAUAAAGAUGAACCUGAGGAAGAUGGUACUAUUGUGGACCCUCAAGACAAAGAGAAACUUUCAGAAGACUCAAUUACGAUACACACCAGUCAAG